ACAGGCCAUGCCAGGCCUGGGGCAGCGAGGUCACAGCCUCCUGGGUCAGAUGCUGUGCCCUGGCCAGUCGGCAGGAGUGGCCUCGGCAGGCUCCGCAGCAGUUUCUGCCCCAGAGACCGUGCGUGGGACAGUUCCAUCUCAUCUAUUCCAAGAACCUGGACACCUUCCACCGGUAACAUUCUCAUCAGAGGGACAUCAGAGCACAUUCUCUCUCUCUCUCCCUCCCUCGUAAGGACCUAGGAAAAGGUGGCCAACUACGAGGCAGAAGAAAGCUUCAUCAGAACCUGACCCUGUUGGCUCCCUGAUCUUGGACUUCCGUCUCUGGAACUGUGAAGUCUAAACCACUCAGUCUAUGGCAUCUGUGUUAUGGCAGCAGGAGCUGAGACAUCCUGCAUCAUGCAGAUGAGGAAACAGAGGUGCAGAGAGGUGAAGCAGAUUGGCCGAGUUAGAACAAUGAGAAGGCAGGAGAGCUGGGAUUUGAAUUGAGGUAGUUUGGCUGCGGGUCCAGGCUUUUAAUCAUGUAUUUGGGGCAUGCUCCUUUAAAACUAGCAAACAAAAACUCCUAGAGGAAUGUGUUUGAAGAAGUCUGGAAACGCCUGAGUUGGAAGGAAAGGGUGUGAGAGUCUAUGGUAGACAGAAUAGUGACCCCCAAAGAUGUCCAUAUCUUAACCCCCAGAACUUGUGGAUAUCUACCUUGCCAAGUAAAUUACCAAGUAAUUUACCUUACUUGGCAGAAGAAACUUUGCAGAUGUGGUUUAAAAAUCUUGAGCAUCGGGGGGUGGUUAUCUGGGAUUAUCCUGGUGGCCCCAAUGUCAUCACAGGGAUCCUGGUGACAGGGAGGCAGAAGUCAGCAAGGAGAGAAGAUGCCAUCCUGCUGGCUUGGAAGACAGAGGAGGGGCCAUGAGCCAAGGAAUGCAGGCAGCCUCCAGGAAAUGCAGAAGGCAAGCAGACAGAUUCUCCCCUGGAGUGUCCAGAAGGAGAAGGCCCGUUUCAGACUUCAGAACUCCUGAACUUUAAGAUAAUAAAUGUGUCGUGUUUUAAGCCA